GGGCGUGUGGCUCAGUUGGUAGAGCGUUCGCUUAGCAUACGAUAUCCACCUGUAUGCGAAAGGUCCUGGGUUCGAUUCCCAGCUCGUCCA